UACGGAGGGGGCAAGCGUUGUUCGGAGUUACUGGGCGUAAAGCGCGCGUAGGCGGUGCGGUAAGUCAGGGGUUAAAGGCUGCAGCUCAACUGCAGUAAGGCCUUUGAUACUAUCGUGCUAGAGUGUCAGAGAGGAUGGCGGAAUUCCCGGUGUAGCGGUGAAAUGCGUAGAUAUAGGGAGGAACACCGGUUGCGAAGGCGGCUACCUGGACGGUAACUGACGCUGAGGUGCGAGAGCGUGGGGAGCAAACAGG
rnacentral:rRNA from 1 species